ACUGCUCAGUAACACGUGGACAACCUGCCCUUAGGUUGGGUAUAAACCCGGGAAACUGGGUAUAAUACCCGAUAGGUCUCGAUUGCUGGAAUGCAUCGAGAUUUAAAGCUCCGGCGCCUAAGGAUGGGUCUGCGGCCUAUCAGGUAGUAGUGGGUGUAGCGUACCUACUAGCCUACGACGGGUACGGGUUGUGAGAGCAAGAGCCCGGAGAUGGAUUCUGAGACACGAAUCCAGGCCCUACGGGGUGCAGCAGGCGCGAAAACUUUACAAUGCUGGCAACAGCGAUAAGGGAACCUCGAGUGCCAGGUUACAAAUCUGGCUGUCGAGAUGCCUAAAAAGCAUUUCAUAGCAAGGGCCGGGCAAGACCGGUGCCAGCCGCCGCGGUAACACCGGCGGCUCGAGUGGUAACCGUUAUUAUUGGGUCUAAAGGGUCUGUAGCCGGCCGGAUAAGUCUCUUGAGAAAUCUGGCAGCUUAACUGUCAGGCUUUCAGGAGAUACUGUCUGGCUCGAGGCCGGGAGAGGUGAGAGGUACUUCAGGGGUAGGGGUGAAAUCUUGUAAUCCUUGAAGGACCACCAGUGGCGAAGGCGUCUCACCAGAACGGACCUGACGGCAAGGGACGAAAGCUAGGGGCACGAACCGGAUUAGAUACCCGGGUAGUCCUAGCCGUAAACGAUACUCGCUAGGUGUCGGCCACGGUGCGACCGUUGUCGGUGCCGUAGGGAAGCCGUGAAGCGAGCCACCUGGGAAGUACGGCCGCAAGGCUGAACUUAAAGGAAUUGGCGGGGGAGCAC
rnacentral:rRNA from 1 species